UACGAAGGGGGCUAGCGUUGCUCGGAAUUACUGGGCGUAAAGCGUGCGCAGGCGGUUCUAUAAGACAGAUGUGAAAUCCCCGGGCUCAACCCUGGGAACUGCAUUUGUGACUGUAGAGCUGGAGUGCGGCAGAGGGGGAUGGAAUUCCGCGUGUAGCAGUGAAAUGCGUAGAUAUGCGGAGGAACACCGAUGGCGAAGGCAAUCCCCUGGGCCUGCACUGACGCUCAUGCACGAAAGCGUGGGGAGCAACAGG
rnacentral:rRNA from 1 species